AAACGUAAUAAUGUUUAUUACAUUGCCGUGUAUACUCUUAUGGGACGCAGUAAUGCAAAUGAUAAAUAAAUGUAAGACAGAGCAAAAAUUUCGAGCUAAGUUCCAGAAUACAAAGAAAUGUUUUAGCAGUAGAGAUAUGCAGAACAUGGAGCCAAGAUGGCGGAGACGUAAGGGUGACAUGAGGAAAUGGAUGACACCUCAGGCUGAAGCACUAAGUGCAGACAUAUGGGAUUACGGUCUAUCUCCAACGGGCGAGAAGAAUUGCGAUUGUAGAAAACCACUCCUCAACGACAUCACCAGGAACAAGGAGAAGCAGCAAAUACUCCACGAUUCCGAACAAGACGACACUGCUUAUGUCUUAACACAAAUACAGAAGAGUAAAG